GUUUCACACUCUAUCCUUCGACGCCACUUUCAUUCUCUCUCUCUUUCUUUUCUUCCAGCUCUAUGCUUUCACAGUUAUAUCAUCGUCAUCACUCGUCUACCAUAGCUACCAGAUUUGAGUAAAUACUUCACUCCACCAAGAAAAACCACUAACGGUUCAAUAAAAUCUCGGUCAAAAAAGCCUCACCGGAAAACUUAAACAAAGUUCUUUACGAUUUUUUGAUUCGAGCCGUUCGAAGGUCGAUUCGUGUGCUAAUGGAUUUCUAGAGUAUUGAUUGGUUUGCUUGAGGUAAGUAUCUUACCUAAAAUUGGUUGAGGCACUAGUUGUCUGAGUUAUUAGUGUUGGCUACGCGCUAUGGGUAGUGCAUAUGUGAGGGUUGAGCUCAUGCACGUGCACCGGGUAUUAUCCAUGCUCGAGGUAGUGGCUAUGAUAUGCCUUGAAUUGAUUACUAUGUUUUAUGCUAUAAUGUUUCUUAUGUUUGUACCUCCUUUUGUGAGCUAAUUGAAUCGUGUUAGAGGUUAUUUGUUGGUUAAUCUCAUGUUUAAACAUGAUUAAUUGAUAUUUUGUGGUGUAAUCGCCUAAUUUGAACUGUGGUAGUACACUUCGCACAUGUCUACAUCUUAGCAUGUCACUUAUAUCAGUCCAGAAAUAUGUAAUUGAUAUCCAUUAUUCAUGUACAUGUAUCCUUAAUAUGUUAUCUGUAUGAUAUGGACUGGUUGAUAGCACGUGGGUGGUCCAUAUGCUGAGAUAUCAUAGCACGUAAGGGAUCCGUGCGGUGGUUAUAUAUGGCAUGUGAUUUGUUCGUGCAGCGUGUGGAUAAGAAUCCACCCCUCCUAGAUUCACCCUUUUCUCUUGAUGGUGUACACGUGGUAUGAGAAAACUGAUCACUGUGUAGUUAUUACAUUUCUUCUCUACUUGCAAUUUCCUUGGAUGUAUACAUGUUUUAUUCGCAUAUCUUCUCUACAUGCUAGAUCUGGAAUGUAUACAUUCCUCGUUGUGCAUAUCUUCUCUAUGUGCUGUUUGGUUUGAUUAGUGAGAGCACAGUACAUAUCUUCUAUAUAUGUCUACCUGUGCAUCGAGACUUAAUAAUAGAUGCAUAUCUUAUUUAUAUGUUGGAUUGAUAAUUGAUACAUGGCUUGGCAGCAUCGAGGUGACUUUAUCUAUGUUUUAUGAUUAGAUGGUAUUAUUGUUGUGUACUUGUGGAAUUUAUGAACUGAGCAGGUUAUUAGCAAGUUUCGUUGAUAUUUCUUGUUGCUAUUACCUUACCGAGGUUAGUUAUGAUACUUCCUAAGUACCUAGGGUCAGUUGUACUCAUACUAUAAUCUGCACUAAUUGUGCAGAUCCAGGUGUUGGACCCAAUUGAGAGUUGUCCGUACUUUGUUGUGACUUGCUAAGAGACGAGAUGGUAAGGACACGUUCAGCUAGAUAAGCCGAGCAGGCACCGGUGCCUCCAGUCAGGGCCGCGGGAGAACAAGGUUGAGGUAGAGGCUGAGUUGGGGCUUGUGCUAUAGCUAGAGCAGCAUUUGUGGAGCCACCAGUUGCUCUAGUGGAUGAGCAAGUUCCGAAUAUUGUUGAGCCGAUGGGACCAACUCAGACUCCGACAGUACCUAUUGCUAUACCUGGUCUUCAGGAGACUUUGGCCCAGAUCUUGAGUGUGUAUAAGAGUUUAGCUCGAGCAUGCAUGAUACUAGUUGCACCAGCUACCUCACAGGCUAGGGGAUAAUCUAGACUCCCGCCGCCCGUAAGCCAGAGCAACUAGCUUAGAGUUAUCAGACACCGGGGGUUUGCCAGUAUAGCCAACUGAUGCGUCACAUGUCGAGAUUGGACCAUCUUUGACUGAUGAGGAGCAGAAGAGGUUAUAGCUAUUCCAUAGGCUUUGUCCUCCCUAGUUGAGUGGAAGAGAGUUAGAGGAUGCUCGGGGAUUUCUUAAUUAGUGUCAUCAAAUUCUUUGCACAAUGGGUCUUGUGGACUCCAAUAGAGUUGACUUUACUACUUUUCAGCUGACGGGCCAACCUAAAGGUGGUGGCAGUCCUAUGAGACAGUCAGGCCAGUUGGCGUAGCACCACUCACAUGGCAUCAAUUUUCAGUUCUCUUCUUAAAGAAGUUUGUCCCACAAACUCGCAGAGAGGAGUUCCAUAGGGAGCUUGAGCAUCUACACCGAGAAGGAUUGACUAUGACCCAAUACGAGAUGAGUGUCACAACCCAAAACCAUGCGACCGGCACCCGACACACUACCCGACCCCAGUGAACCAAACCAUAUGAUGCACCCAAACCAUAUGCAUGAAAACCAAUUUAGCUGUGGAAGCUCUUUGAAAAUCAUACUCCCUCCGUUCCAGUUUAUGUGAACCUAUUUCCUUUUCGA